rnacentral:tRNA from 2 species
AUAAAAUGGAGAUUACCUCUGGGAGAGGUGGCUGAGUGGUUGAUAGCUCCGGUCUUGAAAACCGGUAUAGUUCCGAUAACUAUCGAG